GCGCCGGUAGUCCAGUCUGGUCCAGGACAUUGGCCUUCCAAGCCAAUGACUCGGGUUCAAAUCCCGACCGGCGCACCA
rnacentral:tRNA from 1 species